AUGCCUACACAAACUAGAGAGGAAGCUAAUGAUGAUGAUCAUGAAACUUCAGAUCAAGUUACCACUGAACCUCGUAGGUCAACCAGAGCACGAUCCAGACCAGAGUGGUAUGGUAAUCCUAUUCUGGAAGUUAUGUUACUAGACCAUGGCGAACCUAUGAACUAUGAAGAAGCGAUGAUGAGCCCAGAUUCCGAUAAAUGGCUUGAGGCCAUGAAAUCUGAGAUAGGAUCCAUGUAUGAGAACAAAGUGUGGACUUUGGUGGACUUGCCCGAUGAUCGGCGAGCCAUAGAGAAUAAAUGGAUCUUCAAGAAGAAGACUGACGCUAAUGGUAAUGUUACUAUCUACAAAGCUUGA
rnacentral:rRNA from 1 species